ACAACAUCCAAAGAAAUAUCUCUCAGGCUGACUGCUGACUUUUUAAUAGUAAAGUUGAAUACCAAAGAGUAGAAAAAGUAGAGCAAAAUCUUCAAAAUCUGAAGGAAUUUAACAAUUGGUAACUGUAUAAUCAACUAAACUAUAUUUCAGGAAUGCAGUCUAAAAUCUGAGAAAAUGGACUACAAACAACCUAGCUAAUGAAAUAUCUACGGUAUGUACAGUAUGAAGACAUGGGAAAAGAGAUUCUUCAAUAAAAGAAAGGCUUGGAUGUGAAAGAAAAUGUUUUCAGGGCACCAGUGACCCAAGAACUAGAAGAACAGACAUAGAAGCUUGGUCACUUAGUAAGAAAUAAAACCAGAGAAGCCUAAGUAAAGAAAA